rnacentral:rRNA from 1 species
AUUGAACGCUGGCGGCAGGCCUAACACAUGCAAGUCGAGCGGAUGAAGGGAGCUUGCUCCUGGAUUCAGCGGCGGACGGGUGAGUAAUGCCUAGGAAUCUGCCUUGUAGUUGGGGAUAACGUCCGGAAACGGGCGCUAAUACCGCAUACGUCCUGAGGGUGAAAGUGGGGGAUCUUCGGACCUCACGCUAUCAGAUGAGCCUAGGUCGGAUUAGCUAGUUGGUGGGGUAAAGGCCUACCAAGGCGACGAUCCGUAACUGGUCUGAGAGGAUGAUCAGUCACACUGGAACUGAGACACGGUCCAGACUCCUACGGGAGGCAGCAGUGGGGAAUAUUGGACAAUGGGCGAAAGCCUGAUCCAGCCAUGCCGCGUGUGUGAAGAAGGUCUUCGGAUUGUAAAGCACUUUAAGUUGGGAGGAAGGGCAGUAAGUUAAUCCCUUGCUGUUUUGACGUUACCAACAGAAUAAGCACCGGCUAACUUCGUG